rnacentral:rRNA from 1 species
AACGUAGGAGACAAGCGUUAUCCGGAGUUACUGGGCGUAAAGGGCGUGCAGGCGGAUGACUAAGACAGGUGUGAAAGCCUCUGGCUCAACCGGGGGAGGCCACCUGUGACUGGUGAUCUAGAGGGCGGCGGAGGGGUGUGGAAUUCCGGGUGUAGUGGUGAAAUGCGUAGAGAUCCGGAGGAACACCAGAGGCGAAGGCGGCACUCUAAGCCGCACCUGACGCUGAGACGCGACAGCACGGGGAGCGAACGGG